GGGACACCGUCCCGGAAUACCGCAAGGGUUCAAAUUGCACCUCUGUCGCUUAACGACUGACUCAGAACAAAAUGCCUCACCUGCAGGAGCCACAGUCUUUCCCCAUGUGCUGCAAGAGGCCUGAUUGUGACCUGGUGACUGAGAACAGAAUGCCUAGCAAGCAAAGAUUACUAUUGCCUGAGUCCUGCCCAGGCAGAGAUAGAAAUCACUGAAGCAAGUUAGGUUAAACAAAUCAAGUAAUUGGGAGAAGACGGAUGGAUGGGAGGGGAUAUCAUAAGUAAGCGCUCUCCAAAUAACUCAAGAACAAAAACUGAGGCUUUGAAAUCUCUUCCACUCCAUCCUCUCUCUGAA